AUAUUUUUUUUUUCAUGUUGAUAUUUCUAUAUCAAUGUUGGUGUGAAGG
rnacentral:sRNA from 1 species